rnacentral:rRNA from 1 species
CCUACGGGGGGCAGCAGUGGGGAAUAUUGCACAAUGGGGGGAACCCUGAUGCAGCGACGCCGCGUGAGUGAAGAAGUAUUUCGGUAUGUAAAGCUCUAUCAGCAGGGAAGAAAAUGACGGUACCUGAUUAAGAAGCCCCGGCUAACUACGUGCCAGCAGCCGCGGUAAUACGGAGGGGGCAAGCGUUAUCCGGAUUUAAUGGGUGUAAAGGGAGCGUAGACGGCAGCGCAAGUCUGAAGUGAAAUGCCGGGGCUUAACCCCGGAACUGCUUGGGAAACUGGGCAGCUAGAGUGCAGGAGAGGUAAGUGGAAUGCGUAGUGUAGCGGUGAAAUGCGUAGAUAUUAGGAGGAACACCAGUGGCGAAGGCGGCUUACUGGACUGUAACUGACGUUGAGGCUCGAAAGCGUGGGGAGCGAACAGGAUUAGAUACCCGUGUAGUC